rnacentral:tRNA from 1 species
GCCUGGCUAGCUCAGUUGGUGGAGCAUGUGACUCUUGAUCUCAGGGUUGUGAGUUCAGUCCCCACAUUGGGUA